UAGGCAAUCAAGUAGAGAUACUAAUAAAAAACCCUACCAAAAAAAGAAAAUCCAAGGACUCGAUGGAUUCACCACAGAAUAGUACUAGAACUUCAGAGAAGGUCUAACUCCAAUACUUCUCAAACACUUAAGUGAAACUGAAAGGGAACGACUACUGCCAAACUCAUUCCUCGAAGCUAGGAUUACCCUGAAGAUAAAAUGUUACAAGGACUAAAAAGCAACAAAGAAGAAAACUACAAGCCAGUUUCCUUAAUGAGCAUAGAUGCAAAAAUCCUCAACAAGAUAACUGGCAAACAAAAGUAGGAAGAACAAUUGUUGGGAUACCUCAUGGAGAAACCAAAGAUGCAGUACAUUCAAAAACUGUCCUGAAUAGGUGGGAGUGGCCUUAAAUAAUACUUUCUCACAGCAGGUGAUGUUUAAUUGGGGAUACAGAAACCCAGUUAUGAAGGAACACACUGAAUACUCAG
rnacentral:lncRNA from 1 species